CGCGUAGGAAUCUACCUAGUAGUGGGGGACAACAGGUGGAAACGAAUGCUAAUACCGCAUACGCCCUACGGGGGAAAGGAGGGGACUCUUCGGAGCCUUUCGCGAUUGGAUGUACCCAAGUGGGAUUAGCUAGUUGGUGAGGUAAUGGCUCACCAAGGCGACGAUCCCUAGCUGGUUUGAGAGGAUGAUCAGCCACACUGGAACUGAGACACGGUCCAGACUCCUACGGGAGGCAGCAGUGGGGAAUAUUGCACAAUGGAGGAAACUCUGAUGCAGCCAUGCCGCGUGUAUGAAGAAGGC
rnacentral:rRNA from 1 species